GACAGCAGUCGCCGCGGGAAUACAGAGGGUGCGAGCGUUAAUCGGAUUUACUGGGCGUAAAGCGUGCGUAGGCGGCUUCUUAAGUCGGAUGUGAAAUCCCUGAGCUUAACUUAGGAAUUGCAUUCGAUACUGGGAAGCUAGAGUAUGGGAGAGGAUGGUAGAAUUCCAGGUGUAGCGGUGAAAUGCGUAGAGAUCUGGAGGAAUACCGAUGGCGAAGGCAGCCAUCUGGCCUAAUACUGACGCUGAGGUACGAAAGCAUGGGGAGCAAACAGGAUUAGAGACCCCUGUAGUCCCUGUCUCUUAUAC
rnacentral:rRNA from 1 species